rnacentral:rRNA from 1 species
GAUGAACGCUGGCGGCGUGCUUAACACAUGCAAGUCGAACGAUGAAGCUCCAGCUUGCUGGGGUGGAUUAGUGGCGAACGGGUGAGUAACACGUGAGUAACCUGCCCUUGACUCUGGGAUAAGCCUUGGAAACGGGGUCUAAUACCGGAUAGGAGCAUUCACCGCAUGGUGGGUGUUGGAAAGAAUUUCGGUCUUGGAUGGACUCGCGGCCCAUCAGCUUGUUGGUGAGGUAAUGGCUCACCAAGGCGACGACGGGUAGCCGGCCUGAGAGGGUGACCGGCCACACUGGGACUGAGACACGGCCCAGACUCCUACGGGAGGCAGCAGUGGGGAAUAUUGCACAAUGGGCGCAAGCCUGAUGCAGCGACGCCGCGUGAGGGAUGACGGCCUUCGGGUUGUAAACCUCUUUCAGUAGGGAAGAAGCGAAAGUGACGGUACCUGCAGAAGAAGCACCGGCUAGCUACGUGCCAGCAGCCGCGGUAAUACGUAGGGUGCGAGCGUUAUCCGGAAUUAUUGGGCGUAAAGAGCUCGUAGGCGGUUUGUCGCGUCUGCCGUGAAAGUCCGGGGCUUAACUCCGGAUCUGCGGUGGGUACGGGCAGACUAGAGUGCAGUAGGGGAGACUGGAAUUCUUGGUGUAGCGGUGGAAUGCGCAGAUAUCAGGAGGAACACCGAUGGCGAAGGCAGGUCUCUGGGCUGUAACUGACGCUGAGGAGCGAAAGCAUGGGGAGCGAACAGGAUUAGAUACCCUGGUAGUCCAUGCCGUAAACGUUGGGCACUAGGUGUGGGGCCAUUCCACGGUUUCCGCGCCGCAGCUAACGCAUUAAGUGCCCCGCCUGGGGAGUACGGCCGCAAGGCUAAAACUCAAAGGAAUUGACGGGGGCCCGCACAAGCGGCGGAGCAUGCGGAUUAAUUCGAUGCAACGCGAAGAACCUUACCAAGGCUUGACAUGUUCUCGUUCGCCGUAGAGAUACGGUUUCCCCUUUGGGGCGGGUUCACAGGUGGUGCAUGGUUGUCGUCAGCUCGUGUCGUGAGAUGUUGGGUUAAGUCCCGCAACGAGCGCAACCCCUGUUCUAUGUUGCCAGCACGUGAUGGUGGGGACUCAUGGGAGACUGCCGGGGUCAACUCGGAGGAAGGUGGGGACGACGUCAAAUCAUCAUGCCCCUUAUGUCUUGGGCUUCACGCAUGCUACAAUGGCCGGUACAAUGGGUUGCGAUACUGUGAGGUGGAGCUAAUCCCAAAAAGCCGGUCUCAGUUCGGAUUGGGGUCUGCAACUCGACCCCAUGAAGUUGGAGUCGCUAGUAAUCGCAGAUCAGCAACGCUGCGGUGAAUACGUUCCCGGGCCU